GAUGAACGCUGGCGGCGUGCCUAAUACAUGCAAGUCGAGCGAAGCGGGGACGGGUGAGUAACACGUGGAUAAACUCCUAUAAGAAUGGGAUAACUUCGGGAAACCGGAGCCAAACCGGAUACUUAGAGAUGGAUCGGCUAGUCAUUAGCUGGUGGGUAAGGUAACGGCUUACCAAGGCAACGAUGCAUAGGCGACCUGAGAGGAUGAUCGGACACAUUGGAACUGAGACACGGUCCAGACUCCUAAGGGAGGCAGCAGUAGGUAAUCUUCCGCAAUGGGCGCAAGCCUGACGGAGCCACGCCGCGUGAGUGAUGAAGGUCUUCGGGUCGUAAAACUCUAUCAGUGGGGAGGCGGUACCUAAUCAGAAAGCCACGGCUAACUACGUGCCAGCCGCCGCGGUAAUUC
rnacentral:rRNA from 1 species